rnacentral:rRNA from 1 species
GACGAACCGUGCGAACGUUGUUCGGAAUCACUGGGCUUAAAGGGCGCGUAGGCGGGUCAGCAAGUCCGGGGUGAAAUCCUCUCGCUCAACGAGAGAACUGCCCCGGAUACUGGAGAUCUCGAGGGAGGUAGGGGCAUGUGGAACUUCCGGUGGAGCGGUGAAAUGCGUAGAUAUCGGAAGGAACGCCGGUGGCGAAAGCGACGUGCUGGACCUUUUCUGACGCUGAGGCGCGAAAGCCAGGGGAGCAAACGGG